CGCCUCUCAGGGUCGUACCUGGAGAGUUUCCAGUACUCUACAAGUUUCGGCUACUGGAGGGAGAGUCAAGCAGGGGCAUACCCAUUCCAGUCCUAACGUGGCCAAUGGUUAGUGAGUGGAAGGCAAUCUGCUAUAAGU